UAAGUAGCUCAGUUGGAAGAGCGUUCGUCGACAAACGAAAAGUCUCGGGUUCGAGUCUCGACUUA
rnacentral:tRNA from 1 species